CGUCACUAGACUUGGCAGUUCAGAGACAUCAAACCUGACUUCUCUGAAUGAUCAACAGUGACCUCUGUCCAGUCAUAGUUUUAGCAGCCUUCUGGAGCCUGCCAGUCCGAAGUAACUGAGUCAGACACAUCAGAGAUAGAUUGCAGGGAAACCAGGGAGCUCAAAAUAACCUCGGUGCUCCUGAAAUAAGAAUGGCCAACCGUUGAGAAUGGCACAGCUUUCAUUCUGGAAGAGAUUUGAUGUAAACUGACCAGUUAAUCAUUUGUUCUAUGGCUCAGCUCCACUCCAUUGAGAAUUUUGUUGGAUAUGAUGUGCAACAUUAAUUUGGGAAAUACUGAAACAAAGACAGAGCUUUGCAAUGAUACUACGUUUUGGAGCUGCUGGCUGGAAUCACAGCUUACAUGCAAUUGCAAUUGAAGGGGUCAAGUUACAGCUGGCAGCCAAAUUUCCAUCCUACACUCAGGAAUAAUUAUAAUUGAAUUUUAAAACCAGAUACUUCUCACUAGCUUGAUUUAAGGAUUUUUGAUUACAUUUUCAAAAUAUACCAAUGAAUUUGAAUUGGUAAAAUAUUUUAUUAUUGUCACAUGUACUGAGGUAAAAUGUAAAACUUUGUUUUGCCUGCCAUCCAUUGAGAUCAUAUUAUUUCAUCAGUAUCUCAAGGUAGGACAAAUGAAUAGGAAUAAAAGAAAGCAGAAAAUAGCAUAACAGUAACAAAGAAAGUACAGUGCAGGCAAACAAUAAUGUCAAAUAAGACCAUAAAGAUUUAGACUAUGAGGUCAAGAGUCCAUCUUAUUGUAUUAGGGGACAAUUCAGUAAUCUUAUAACUAUAGGUAGAAAUUAACUUCACCCUGGUAGUACAUGCUUUCAGGUUUUUGUAUCUUCUGCCCAGUUUGUAGAGUAGAGAAAAGAAGAAUGAAUGUCUGGAGUGGGAAAGGACUUCGAUUAUGUUGCAAACAGGAGGAAAUCUGCAGAUGCUGGAAACUGAAGCAACACACACAAAAUGCUGGUGGAACGCAGCAGGCAGGCGGCAUCUAUAGAGAGAAGCGCUGUCAACAUUUUGGGCCGAGACCCUUCGUCAGGACUGAUUAUGUUGCUGCUUUUCUGAGGCAUUGAGAAGUGUGGGAGAAUAUCAUGAAUGGGGCAUUGGUUAUUGUAAAGGACAGAACUGCCUCCACAAAUCUCUGUAUUUCCUUAAGUAUAGC